rnacentral:lncRNA from 1 species
GAGGGAGUGUGGCUCUGUACUGGGGCUCCUUGUCAAGGCCCUGGGGGCUUAGCAAGGUCACAAGAGUGGCUUCAUGAGAACCCAAAGAUCAGACCCUUGGUACAGGUGCCCUACCUUGCCAAAGAUCCCUAUGUCCUCUAAGAGUAUUAUGGGAAAUUGCAGCGCUAUAAGACCUGAAGGUGACCAAGAUGCUGAGAAGUCCCUGAAAGCUUGACUCAGGGCAUGAAGACACUGCGGCUCAGCAUCCACCAUAAUUCAUCCCAGGUCACUAUGGGCUUAGGCCUAAUGCUUCUUGGCUAAGAAAAUUCAGAGGUGUAGCAGGUGCUCAGAAAAAAAUGGUCUUACUGUGUAGUCCAGGCUGGCCUCAAAUUCAUGGAAAUCCCACUGCCUCUGCCUCCUGAGUGCUAGGAUUACAGGCAUGCACCAUUAUGCCUGGCUUGGACUCCAGCUUGUGAUCUUCCUAACCUUAGCCUCCCAGAGUGCUGAGUUUACAGACAUGUGCCACCACACCUGGAAAUGCAAAUGGACACUCAUG